rnacentral:rRNA from 1 species
UACGAAGGGAGCUAGCGUUGUUCGGAAUCACUGGGCGUAAAGCGCACGUAGGCGGAUGUGUCAGUCAGGGGUGAAAUCCCGGAGCUCAACUUCGGAACUGCCUUUGAUACAGCACGUCUUGAGUCCGGAAGAGGUGGGUGGAAUUCCUAGUGUAGAGGUGAAAUUCGUAGAUAUUAGGAAGAACACCAGUGGCGAAGGCGGCUCACUGGUCCGGUACUGACGCUGAGGUGCGAAAGCGUGGGGAGCAAACAGG